rnacentral:tRNA from 1 species
GCGGGCGUGGCGGAAUUGGCAAACGCGCUGGGUUUAGGUCCCAGUGGGGCGGAAGUCCCUUACAGGUUCAAGUCCUGUCGCCCGCA